rnacentral:siRNA from 1 species
AGGACGGACCUCAGUGAUGCAG